ACACCACUAUUAUUAUUAUAAUUAUUAUUACCAUUAUGCCAUUCUAUGAUGUAGACGUUCACUAAUCAUACUAUUGCAGCUUUAACUCUGACUGGCCACGCCCAUCAAUCGUGUAAAGAAAAGAAAAAAACCUGAACGUGAUACUCGUCUCUCCUCAGUCAGAGACGCUGAAAAGUCCGGUUGUGAUCCUUCUCCCUUCAAAAUGGUUCCAGGUUUGUCAAUAGAUUCAUAUUUCAUAAUAGGCUACAGCUUUUAUAUUUUUGGGGUCUUUGUUGGAAAAGGGAUCCUGAAACGAGGCAGGUACUUGAUCCAAUCCUUUGUUGUUUUCAGGAUGUGUUCUUAACAUGCAGAAUGUUGCAAGACUAGAUUCUCAUGAGUGGCUUUAAGUAAAACAGGACUUUACUUUUAGACAUUCUGGUGUGCUCUUAUUACAGCACUUUAAACCAUUAGAAAGAAAGAAAGAAGGAAAGAAAGAAGGAAAGAAAACACACUUCUUGUGAAACUCAGAAAAAAACUUCAUACUCUAAUAUGUACUGUAGAGGCACUCGAGCUAGCUGCAAAUCAGUCUUUUUUUAUUAACCUUAUCGUUAUUAUUAUACUGAAGAGACAUGUAUGCAUAUAUAUGACUUGAUAUCCCAAAUAUAUCUGCAAUAAAUGUAUCAUUUUGCCAGUGAAAUUCUCAAUAUUUAUCGUAUGAUAACAUAUAUCAAACAUAUGCCGUCAUGUCCAUUUUUAAUGUUCAAAUAUAUGUUAAACAUAACCUGUUGGCAUUCUGAUUGCAUGAGAAAUAUACUACCAUGGGAUGCAUAUUAUAUUGCGAUGUUAUGCUUAACUGGUGAGGUUUUUUUUUUCUUUUUUUUUCCAUUUGUCAAAUGGAAAUAUUUAAGCUGCAGACAUUACGGUGGUUGCAAAAAGGUUACCUUCUUUUUAGAAACAAACAAGUAACAGGAAAAACAUGUUCUUGCAGGUUACACGUUGCGCGUGUUGUAAGGUGUGCACGCAUUCCUCAACACAAAGGCAGAAUGAUGGUGAAUUAUACUAAACUUGAAACUGUAAUAUAUAAAAACAUCAAAGUCAGAAGUCAAAAAACAUGAAAUUAUUUAAAAAAUGAUAUAGUGUAAAGGAUAUUAAAGAUGGAAGGAAGAAAAAGCAUGGACUAUACGUGGAGUAACCCGCAGAUAUGUGCGGUUCAAUGCCGUGCAACAUCAGGCCGACGUAGUUGCAGUCAAAUAUCUAACAGAAUGUAAUAAAUAUUUAUCAAUACAGGGUAAUACAAGUAUAUUAACAGUAAUGUAAAAAAUUAAAAAAGUCUAGUCCUAGGUGUUGUUCUGGUUGAGGGCCCUAAUGGCCUGUGGGAAGAAGCUCCUCCUCAUAAUCUCUCUGUGUUGGCCUUCAGGGAGUCGAAGCACUUCCCUGAUUGCAACAGAGAGAAGAAUGUAUUAUUCACAUGGCUGAGGUCUUUCACUAUCUUCCUGGCUUUGGUUCAGCUCCGCCUGCUGUAGACAGACUGCUGCUCAGGGAGCUCAGUGCGGAUGGUGCGCUCAGUUGAUCACACCACCCUCCGGUUCACAUAGUACGCAUAGCAGAACUGAGCUGUCAAACAUGUGUUCACGCAUCAGUGGUGGUGAAUAAGGAGCUUUAAAAUACUAUUAAAAAAAAAAAAAAAAAGCAUUCAAAAGAGUCAUAAUUUGUUAGACAAGUUAAGAAUUUUCAUAGUGUCAUAUGGACCUCCAGGUGUGUUGUUGUGCCCUCAUAAUGUUGUUUGAAAUGUUGAUUUAUAAUUAUUCUGUCAGUUAUGAUCAUUAGCAUGUUUUCAAAACAGACUCUUCUCUCACAGUCGAGGUGUGUUUUAGUCUGCUGGGUGUGUUUCAGGAGCUUUCUCCUCCCUGUUAAUUCUCCGGAGCACCGCACCCUUGAUGUUCUAAGACCUCAUGGUUUACAAAAGAAAAAAAAAAACAACGUUAUUUUUUCUGAUUGAAAGUAUUGUCUACUAUAUGAUCCUAAAUAAUAAAAUCUAAAUUUAGAUAGCUUGUACUGAAGCAGAAUCCAGUAUAAGUACAAAGGCCGUAGUGCAUGGUUCAGCAGGGCUUUAAACUCACAACCUUCAGGUCAGUAGGCCAAAAACUUAGACGCUAAGCUCCAGAACUGGACUUCUAUAUCAUUUUAAUAUACAGAACAUACGCUAAACAUAAAUUCAUUAUCUAAUCCAACCCAGUCCAGUAUUUUGGUUGCCUGGAAACUCAAAACACACGACAAUACGUUAAACAUAAUUAAACGGUAUACUCACACAGGGAAUCACAGGGAAUAAAUGCAGGCUUGUGCCCUUUUCCUUCAUGUAUUUACAAAAAAUAUCAAAUCCUUCUGAAGCCAUAAUCUAAAAUUCCAGGACAUUUUAUAGAUUGAUGGAUGGAUGGAUGGGCUUUAUUGAUCCCGAGUGGGAACAUUAGUGGCAGAUUUCCACGGGACAUUAAAUAAACAGAAUAAAUACACCUAAUUACUACAAACUACAAAGUGUGAUAGCAAGAAACCUUCACAUGCUGGCAAAAACGUUAUUGUUUACAAAAUUAAGCAGAAAAAAGAGUGCAUCGCUCGAGAAUAAUUACUUAUAAAAUGGUACGGUAAACAGGGGGCAGGAUAGCACACUAACACACUGCCAGGAAGUAUUGUGAAACCUGAUAGGAGUAGAUAAAAAAAAAAAAAAAUCCCUGCUAUAGUCUUUGCUGUAUAGCGUAUCUGCAUUUCCACUUCUGAAUACUAAAUACUGUACUCAAUCUGAAUACUGAAUACAUCUGAAUAUUAAAGUCUGUACUCAGGAAUAAUUCUCGGCUUGUAAGAAGGCGGAAAUUUUCCCUUCAGCCUGUUCUCCAGUGAGUGUAGUUCUAUACAGCUGAUUACUUUCAUCUGUUCACCUGAAAAGGACCUGAGACUACUGCUCUCAGGUGAACCGGGUGUGAUUGCACAUGGAUAUUUAAAACAGCUUGCAGUUUUGACCCAAAAUACAAAAGUCAGAUGUGUAAAAAUGCUAUCACGAAUAACAGAGUAAAUGUAAUUGACAGACACAAAUAAGCAGCAGUUAAGUAUUCUUAGGGGGGAAAUAAAGGUACCAUAAGGGUUCUUUGCAUGCUUAACGGUUUCUAGCUUUCUAAAAGGGUUCCACUUGGAAUCCUCUUCCAAGUAUAUAAAGAAUACCUGUAGCAGGGAGAGAGGGUGAUAUUAGAUAACGCCUGUGUUUAUAUUUGGGACUGAUUUGAUAAGAUUUAAGGUGGUUUGUGUGCUAUAACAAUUUUGGUUUAUGUUUUCAGACCACAGCCAACAUUCAAUACCUGUUGGACAGAUGUUCUAUGUUCUUAACUUUUGUAGACUUCUGUCAAAAAUUGAGCAAAUCAAUUCAGUUCCCUAUCAAUCCCUAGUAUAGUCUGUUCCAUUUGUGCCUGAAUAGGCAGAUACGAAAUCCAUUUAAAUGAAUGCAUUUAAGUAAUUUAUAUGUGUUAUUGUGUUAUAAAAUGUAGCGAUUAAUGUAACGUCUAAAAAUCAAUCAGGAAAAAUAGGCUUGUUUCAUUUUCAUUGUAGACUUUACUUUCCGAUCACCAUUGUACAGAGAGUUUUAGUGCUGCCGCGUGUCGUUUCGUCUCCAGAAUCAAAAACGCUGCUGUUCUUCCCGAUGGUACUCGGGAACACCAUAAAUAUCCAUGUGGAGAUUUUGAGUCGGCUGAGGCAACGUCUACAGCUUCGUGAAGCGUAUGCAGAGAACCACGGUGACGUCAUCAUCGCUUUUGUCCCAGUUGUAUCUCGGGCAGGAACGGACAUUGAAGCUGCUCUUCAGAGGAUCCCGAGAAGUAAGGAGUAAUCUUUUAGUUAAAUGUGGCUAUGUUUAAAAUCACUAAUUACCGUAUUAGAUUAUAUCUGUGGUGGCCUUGGACUACUAGUUGUGAAAGUUACACACUUUCCUGAACUGAAAUAUAUUUCAAUUUUGGUAUCUCAACCAUGAGGAGUAAACUUCUAGCAUUUUAAAGUAAAAUGAGAGACAUUUUCAUUUAAAGAUUUCUUUCCGACUGCUGUGCAGGAGCACGCCGGCAUUUUGCCAGCUGGUACAUGAUUAUAAACUGACUUCAGUGUCUGCUUCACUACAGCACAAAGCUAUUCGACCAUAUUAACCCUGUAAGGAAAUCACACUUAGGUUUUUGGUGAGGCUAGACAGGUUUUAAACUUUCUUUCGGCAGACUGACUGGGUUUACCAGCAAUUCAAAUGUAAAUAAAAACAUUUUCAUGUUUUUUUUUUUUUUUUUGGUAAAAUACAUGUAUGAUUUCUUAUAACUGAGGUGUGGAAAUAUUUUCCCACGCUGAUAUAUAGAGAAGUUGAAUAAAUAGAAUACCAAUAUAGUCUCCUAGUCUUAAUAAGUGAUAUAAUAAUCUAACGUACUAUUAAUUUCUGUAUGAUAGUACAAUGUUCAUCUAUACCAGUUUGCCAUUUUCUCGAAUACCCAAACCCAAUGAGAGAUAGACGCUUAUAACCUAAGGCCAUGUAAUGCUAAAUAAAGGACAUUAGGACCCGGAUAAAACAAGCAGGUUUCUUUAUUUUGUCCGAAUUUCGCGUUGAACUUUCUAGUUUUGAAACAGAUUGUAAUUUGGUGUUUAUACAGCAUACUGCACCUAAACUCAUUGUCUGUAUUGGCUACAUCAAUAUGCUGUCGAAGAUGAGAAUUAGUUUUAUCAUUUAAAAAUAAAAUUGGAAUAGAAAGAGAGAGAAAAACGAAGAAAAUGGCAAAUUGAAAUAGAUAAAUUGAUAAUAGUCACGUUUGGAUAUUGGACCAUUCCUCUUUCUUUCUGACACAAACAAUUCUCCCUCCAUGGUGUUUUCGGAGCAAAUGUGAGUGUUGAUUAUGAACACAACGUUGUCCUGUGAAUCUCGCAUUCUUCCAGCGGGUCAGCCUGUUGUUCUCAUGGUGCUCCACUUCACAUUUGAUGAGAAUUACAUGGCUCCAAACAGCACCUGGAACCUAGACAGGGAUGAUGUAUUUGCUGUGGAUUUGCUCUGUUAUGAAGACAUUGGACUGCUCAGAUCCCAACGCAAUGAUGAGGCAUUGAAAGCUGUCACCGAUCAUCUGAUCUCUAAAGGAGCUUCACCCAAUACCCAGCUACAAACAACCGGAUCACAGACACAGUGUAAUCCACUGGUAUUCAUCUUCUGUUUCAUUUUUGUUAUUUUAAUAGCGAUAGCCAUUGGUGUUGGUUUUUACGUGAAGACAACGGUAAAUCACGAUAAUAAUACUAAUACCACAGGCGGUUGACCAGUAUGAAAUACAUUUGAUUGAUUUCUGUAAAUUAGCUACAGUUAAAUUACUGUAGAAUUUUUUUUUUUUUGGGACGGUUUUAACAAGUAAUGUGCGAACAUUAAACAAUUCUAGUACAACAACAGAAGACUUUCUUGUACAUAACAUCCAUUGUUACAUUUAACGUAUAUUAAAAAUGAAAAGGCAGAACAAAGACACAAGGACCUUAAAGUGUCAGAUAUAUGAUUAUAAAUGUAUAUAUCAGUCUUAUGAAUUAUUUUCUUUUCUUUUUUUCUUUUCCUUUUCUUUUCUUUUUUUUUUUUUUUUUUUACCUUUAAUCAGCAAUAUUUCACAUGCUAGGGCUUAAAUGAAAUGAGUAUUGUGUGACUAUGCAUGUAAGUGACCUGUUAAAUAAAAUGUACAUAGCCUACUACUGUAUGCAUUUCUGUAUGAACAGGCUUUCACAAAAUAUGACUGAGAAUAUAUUACAGAUUUUUCUGUGAAAUAUUCAAUUAAAUAUAUCCACAACAUUAUUUUACAACGUUAUCUAUAUGCUCAUUAUAUGAGAAUUCCUUGGCUCACAAAACAAUAAAGCAAUUAGUAGUAUUAAGGACAGACAGGCAAAUAGUUUACUCAUCUAGUCAUAAAAUUCAUGUAACACUUUUACUUUAUUACCACAGACAUCUGUUUUUCUUUUCUGCCGAUAUAGUUGUGAAAGGAUCUAUCCGAAAAGAGUCGAUUCCCUAAUAGACACUGGGAAUAGUGGUGAGUUGAUGUGUCGUUUACGAAUGAGUGGGCGUUUUAGAUGAACGCUGGGAACCGACUCCUAGGUCUGAAGAGCCGUUUAGAUGAUUCAGUAGCUGAGAAAUAACAGUGGAAAGGCAUUCGAGUGUUUAAUAUUGAGAAUAAAGUCUUGAAGGGCUUAUGUUAAUAUUUCAGUAAGUAAGACGUGAGGAGAAAUUCAGCCGAAUAAAAAAAAACAAUGGAAGAGAUAUAAAGGUGGUCCUACUGAGUCUUGUGAGUCGAUUCAUGUGUAAAAUCGAAAGUGAAACGGAUUCACGAGCACAAACGCUGCAGAUCUGAACACCGUUGUGUCUGACUCCAAGAUGCUGCGAGGAACAAAAACACGCCUUUUCUCAAUCAAUGAAAGUAGGAAAUUCUUGGAUGUCCAAAGUAAGAUUGAGGAACGGUUGAAGAAACGCGUUCAGCUCCAUCAAGUGGAUUCAGAGGAUUAUUGUGAUGUCAUCAUGGCUUUUGUACCCAUUGUGUCCCGGGCUGGAACAGACAUUGAAGCUGCUCUUCGAAAUAUUCCAACAAAUCAGCCUGUCAUCCUCGUGGCGCUCCACCACACGUUUGAUGAAAAUUACAUUGCACCACAGAGCAAAAGGUGUGUGAAUAGGGAUGGUGUAUUUGCUGUAGACUUCCUCUGUCAUGAAGAUAAGGGACUGCUGGAAUGCUUGACCAAUGAGGAGGCACUGAAAUCCGUCAGUGAUUAUCUGGUCUCUAUGGGCCCCAGUACCCCGCUUAUACCAGUUCAUCCACGGUCAUCCCGAAGAUGCUGUAUCUGUUUGGGUGUCUCUGCUUUUGUUGUUGUUGUUGUUAUUGGGCUAGUUAUUCCCUUUCUCAUUCCGAAAAGUGACGGACAUGGUGACACUCAAACUACGGUGAUACCUCCUAUAACUGUAGCUACACAUCAGCAUAACAUAACUGAAACUACACAUCAGUCUAACAUAACUGUAACUACACAGCAUCUAACAUAACUGUAACUACACAUCAGCGUAACAUAACUGAAACUACACAGCAGUCUAAGAUAACUGUAGCUACACAGCAGCGUAAGAAACGAUCCCUUCAGAGAGGCCGAGGCUAAUUCAUUAGUUUGGUGAACACCCAAGACUGUUGUGUUCGUGAUGAAAAGAUGGAGAUGAAACGAGAGUUUAGGAUUUCAGCUUUUAUUUCCUGGUGUUUACAUCUAGACGUGUUAAACAUAAAACAUACAACCUUUUGUAUCAGACCACCCACUUUUUAGGUGAGCAAAAGUAUAGGAACAGAUCAGUCUUGAAGUAAAUGAAAGUAAAUAACACUUAACAUUUGGCUGCGUGUCCCUUGCUUGCAAAAACUCAUCAAACUGCAUCAAUCCUGUGACUCACUGACACUUGUGUUGCUUUUCCAGGUAUUUACUGCAGCUUCUUUCAGUAGUUGUGUGUUUCGGUGGUUUCUCCCUUCAGUCUCCUCUUCAGGAGGUGAGGUGCUGAUCAGUUGGGUGAAGGUCUGGUGAUGGACUUGUCCAGUCUAAAACCUUCCACUUUCCCCCUGAUGAAGUCCUGUGUUGAGGUGGAAGUGUGUUUUGGAUCGUUGUCUUGCUGCAUGAUGAAGUUCCUCUGAUUCAUUCGGAUGGAUUUCUCUGUAAAUCUGCAGACAGAAUGUUCCUGUACAGUUCUGAAUUCAUUCUGCUGCUCCAUCAUGAGUUCAUCAAUAAAGAUUAGUGAGAAUGUUCCAAAAGCAGCCGUGCAAGCCCAAGCCAUGACACUACCUCCACCAUGUUCCACAGAUCAGCUUGUAUGUUCUGGAUCAUGAGCAGAUCCUUUCUUUCUCCACACUUUGGUCUUUCCAUCACUUUGGUAGAGGUUCGUCUUGUUCCAGAACUUUUGUGGAUCAUCUCUGUAUUUCUUUGCCAAUUCCAAUUUGACUUUCUGACUCGUACUGCUGAUGACUGGUUUGCAUCUUGUGGUACGGCCUCGAUAUUUCUGCUCUCGAAGACUUCUUCAAACGGUGGCUUGUGAUGCCUUCAAUUCUGCCCUGUGGAGCUUGUUGGUGAUGUCACUGACAGUUGUUGUUGGGUUUUUCUUCACAGCUCUCUGUCAUCACCUGCUGUUGUUUUCCUUGACUGACCCGUUCAGUGUCUGUUUCUCAGUACACCAGCGGUUUCUUUCAUUUUCAUGACAUUCCAAAUUGUUGUAUUGGCUUUACCCAGUGUUUCUGCAAAGGCUUUGAUUGAUUUUCCCUCUUUCCCCGCUUUAAAAUGGCUCGCUUUUCUCCCCUAGACAGCUCUCCGAUCUUCAUGUUGGCUUAUCCUUUAUAACAACAUAUGCAGUCUUCACAGGUGAAACUGAAGAGUAGAUGUUCAGAGCUAUUUAUUGUUUAAACAGUCGAUCUAACAGGACACGCCUGGGGAACAAGAAACACCCGUCAGUCACGUGUUCCAAUGUUUUUGCUCCCUUACAAAUUGGGUGGUCUGAUACAAACUGUGCUGUUCUGUAUCUAUAUAUAAAUACCAGGAAAUAAAAGCUGAAAUUCUAAACUCUCUUCUCAUAUUGCUCUUUUAAUAUCAAAAACAAAUGUCUUCACUCAACAGUGAAAACAAUUUAAUUGGCCUUGCCGUCCCAAUAUUUUUGCAGGGGGACUGUAACUGUGACUAUAUAGCAGCUUAAUAUAAUGGUAAUAAACAUUAACUUAACAUACUGGCGAAUAAACAGCAGCCUAAUAUAACUCUAAUUAUACAGCAGCCUGACAUAGUGGCAACGAAAUAGCAACGUAAUCUAACUAUAACUGCACAACAAACAUAAAAUAAACACUAAUCUUUCUUCUAAAUACUUUUUAAAAUUUCAUCAAUUCUUUUGAAUCAGCUUCAUUUUCAUUACAGUUAGAACUUUUCCUUUCAAACCUUAUGAGUAUUUUGACAUCAAUCAUUCUGCAAUCAUCCUAACAUAUACUUUAUAUACAUAUAAAGGAUUCUUUGAUUAAUAAAGGUUUCAUGUAGAACCUUACAACAGAGAUUUUCUGUUUCUGAGAGGGUUCUAGGUUGAACCACUGUUAGGGUGUAGUAAAUGAAGAAUUGCUUACACAAAACUAGUAUGACUUGAUAUUACCUUGUAAUUGUUCAUAAGUUUAAGAUUACCUCCACUAUAUUUAAUGUUACUCCACUAUAUUUUGUAGUUUCUAUAUUUAAUGCUUAUUAAAUGCACAGAACAUUAAAAUCGGAAACGAAGUCUGACAAGAAUGUAACAGAAUAUAACAAGACUGAAUCUGUGUGUAAAGACUUCAUGAAUGUUUGUUUCUAAUCAAUAAAAUUCUCAUACGCUUAUGCUAAAUGGUAAUGUGAUGUUUGUGAAAACUAAACUAAUACCACAAGACAAAAAACAAAAAAUCGCCACUUGAGUGCUUACAAUUUCCUCGGGGAUGGUGUUCUAGCAUUCAAUAUGGUCUCUACAACCUCACUUGCAAGACCAGAAUCUAUGAGCUGGUGCCCCUCAGGGGCCAGACCCACG
ensembl:lncRNA